rnacentral:rRNA from 1 species
AUGUCGUUUCUAUCACAUGCAAGCACCCAGCAGUCCUUCCAAGCUGGCAGGAUUGAUGAAAGCUUUAAGCCUGAACUAGCAUCCUUUGGAUUUGGCGGUGCAUCAUGCACAUCUGGAGCAUCAUCUUCUGCUGAGAGCUCGGGCAUGGCGGUGCCCAUUCUCACGUCUUUCGCUACAGGAUCAUCUACACUUGUAGAGCUACCUCCGGAUGAGAUGAACACUCCUAUAUCUGCAUUCAGAGCAAAAGGACAGGUUGCUAUGCCUAAAACACCCAGCAAAGCACCAUGUCCAAAAAGCGCUCGCCGCAAACUUGUUCUUGAGCUCUCUAAGUUAAGGGUGCAGAGCUAUCUGGCUUUGCUCCCAAGUUGGCUACCCAGACUGAAGAAGUUGUUCCUGCUGGAAAUGUUGUUCAACCUGUAUCCAUGCCAAAUGUACAUACCUAUGUUUGACAUGCAAAUGAGUUUGACUUCAUCUCCGUGCCAGCAAGGAAAUUCUACCUGUUAA